UGAAUUUGAAUUUUCCACCUCUACAGCUAAGGACUAGGUUGACUUAUUGUUUAUGUAUUGGAAGCUUAGCAUGUAAAAGGACUCUAUCACUAGAAUGAUAGUCUCAAUGUUGUAGGGGAAGAAAUGGGCACCCAAAUGCCUGCAUGUAGCGAUCGUACAAGGACAAACUGGACACCAGCAAUGGAGUGCUAUUUUAUUGAUCUUUUAUUAGAUCAGGUGCAUAGGGGGAAUAGGAUGGGCCAUACAUUCAACAAACAAGCUUGGACUGAUAUGCUGACCAUGUUCAAUGCCUAUUUUGGAUCCCCAUAUGAUGAAAAGGUCUUGAAAAGUCAUUACACUAAUUUGUGGACUCAAUUCAAUGAUGUAAAGAGUCUACUUGAUCAGAAUGGAUUUUCAUGGGACGAUACCAAACAAAUGGUGGUUGCCAGUCAUCAUGUUUGGGAUGCUUACAUCAAGGCUCACCCAGAGGCACAGUUUUAUAGAAACAAAGCCUUGAUGAACUUCAAUGAUUUGUGCUUGAUAUAUGCACAUACAACAGCAGAUGGAAGAUACAGCCUAUCAAGUCGUGAUAUAGACUUUGAUGAUGACAUUCAAGGAGUGAAUACUGGUGUAGCAAUGAAUAGCCUUGUACCGGCAAGUAAAGAGCAUUCAAAAAUAGAUUAGACACCAGCCAUGGACCGAUAUUUUGUCAAACUUUUGCUGGACCAACUUAAAAAAGGCAAUAAGAUCUGUAAUACAUUCAAUAAACAAGCAUGGAAUGAUAUGCUCACCUUGUUCAAUGGAAAAUUUGGCUCUAAAUAUGGAAAGAGUUUCUUAAAACACCGUUUUAAGAAAUUAUUGAAAUAUUAUACUGAUGUGAAGAGUCUACUUGAGGUAAAGGGAUUUUCUUGGGAUGAAAUUCAACAAAAGAUAUCAGCAGAUGAUUAUCUAUGGGAUAAUUACAUCAAGGCACACCCAGAUGCACAUUCGUAUCGUAGGAAGACCUUGCUAAACUAUUGCGAUUUGAAAUUGAUAUUUGGAAAUGCAGUAAGCAAUGGACAUUGCAGUCAUUUAUUGCAAGGGAGAAACUUUGAAGAUGAUAUCAUACAGAUCAAGAUGGGUGA